GUCCUUUUGGUAUUUAUUUAAGGUCUAGCCUGCCCAAUGAGGAAUUGAAUGGCCGCAGUAUUUUAACUGUGCUAAGGUAGCAUAAUCAUUUGUCUUUUAAUUGAGGGCUGGAAUGAAGGGUUGGACAAGACAUUGACUUUCUUAGGCUUAAUAUAAGAAUUUAAUUUUUGAGUUAAAAAGCUUAAAUUUGUUUGUUAGACGAGAAGACCCUAUAGAUCUUUAUAAUUUUGUGUUYUAGUAAUUUAGGGAUUAAUUUGUUUAGAGUUAAGAUAUUAUUUUGUUGGGGUGACUGUAGAAUUAUAAUAACUUCUAUUUAUAUAAUUCAUUUAUUUAUGUUUAUUUGAUCCAUGUUUUAUGAUUAUAAGAUUAAGUUACCUUAGGGAUAACAGCGUAAUUUCUCCGGAGAGUUCAUAUUGAUGGGGGAGUUUGCGACCUCGAUGUUGGAUUAAAAUAAGUUGUGGAUGCAGAAGUCUACAUACUAGGUCUGUUCGACCUUUAAAUUUUU
rnacentral:rRNA from 1 species